rnacentral:rRNA from 1 species
GAUGAACGCUGGCGGCGUGCCUAAUACAUGCAAGUCGAGCGAACAGACGAGGAGCUUGCUCCUCUGACGUUAGCGGCGGACGGGUGAGUAACACGUGGAUAACCUACCUAUAAUACUGGGAUAACUUCGGGAAACCGGAGCUAAUACCGGAUAAUAUAUUGAACCGCAUGGUUCAAUAGUGAAAGACGGUUUUGCUGUCACUUAUAGAUGGAUCCGCGUCGCAUUAGCUAGUUGGUAAGGUAACGGCUUACCAAGGCGACGAUGCGUAGCCGACCUGAGAGGGUGAUCGGCCACACUGGAACUGAGACACGGUCCAGACUCCUACGGGAGGCAGCAGUAGGGAAUCUUCCGCAAUGGGCGAAAGCCUGACGGAGCAACGCCGCGUGAGUGAUGAAGGUCUUCGGAUCGUAAAACUCUGUUAUUAGGGAAGAACAAAUGUGUAAGUAACUAUGCACGUCUUGACGGUACCUAAUCAGAAAGCCACGGCUAACUACGUG